AGAUGGGAUUAGCUAGUAGGUGGGGUAACGGCUCACCUAGGCGACGAUCCCUAGCUGGUCUGAGAGGAUGACCAGCCACACUGGAACUGAGACACGGUCCAGACUCCUACGGGAGGCAGCAGUGGGGAAUAUUGCACAAUGGGCGCAAGCCUGAUGCAGCCAUGCCGCGUGUAUGAAGAAGGCCUUCGGGUUGUAAAGUACUUUCAGCGGGGAGGAAGGGAGUAAAGUUAAUACCUUUGCUCAUUGACGUUAUCCGCAGAAGAAGCACCGGCUAACUCCGUGCCAGCAGCCGCGGUAAUACGGAGGGUGCAAGCGUUAAUCGGAAUUACUGGGCGUAAAGCGCACGCAGGCGGUUUGUUAAGUCAGAUGUGAAAUCCCCGGGCUCAACCUGGGAACUGCAUCUGAUACUGGCAAGCUUGAGUCUCGUAGAGGGGGGUAGAAUUCCAGGUGUAGCGGUGAAAUGC
rnacentral:rRNA from 1 species